rnacentral:tRNA from 1 species
GCCUUCGUGGUGUAGUGGCCAGCACGCUCAUCGUGUAAACGAGAGGUCCGUGGUUCGAGUCCCGGUGAAGGCG